rnacentral:rRNA from 1 species
GGGUUGUGAGGUUAAGCGACUAAGCGUACACGGUGGAUGCCCUGGCAGUCAGAGGCGAUGAAGGACGUGCUAAUCUGCGAUAAGCGUCGGUAAGGUGAUAUGAACCGUUAUAACCGGCGAUUUCCGAAUGGGGAAACCCAGUGUGAUUCGUCACACUAUCAUUAACUGAAUCCAUAGGUUAAUGAGGCGAACCGGGGGAACUGAAACAUCUAAGUACCCCGAGGAAAAGAAAUCAACCGAGAUUCCCCCAGUAGCGGCGAGCGAACGGGGAGCAGCCCAGAGCCUGAAUCAGUGUGUGUGUUAGUGGAAGCGUCUGGAAAGGCGCGCGAUACAGGGUGACAGCCCCGUACACAAAAAUGCACAUGCUGUGAGCUCGAUGAGUAGGGCGGGACACGUGGUAUCCUGUCUGAAUAUGGGGGGACCAUCCUCCAAGGCUAAAUACUCCUGACUGACCGAUAGUGAACCAGUACCGUGAGGGAAAGGCGAAAAGAACCCCGGCGAGGGGAGUGAAAAAGAACCUGAAACCGUGUACGUACAAGCAGUGGGAGCACGCUUAGGCGUGUGACUGCGUACCUUUUGUAUAAUGGGUCAGCGACUUAUAUUCUGUAGCAAGGUUAACCGAAUAGGGGAGCCGAAGGGAAACCGAGUCUUAACUGGGCGUUAAGUUGCAGGGUAUAGACCCGAAACCCGGUGAUCUAGCCAUGGGCAGGUUGAAGGUUGGGUAACACUAACUGGAGGACCGAACCGACUAAUGUUGAAAAAUUAGCGGAUGACUUGUGGCUGGGGGUGAAAGGCCAAUCAAACCGGGAGAUAGCUGGUUCUCCCCGAAAGCUAUUUAGGUAGCGCCUCGUGAAUUCAUCUCCGGGGGUAGAGCACUGUUUCGGCAAGGGGGUCAUCCCGACUUACCAACCCGAUGCAAACUGCGAAUACCGGAGAAUGUUAUCACGGGAGACACACGGCGGGUGCUAACGUCCGUCGUGAAGAGGGAAACAACCCAGACCGCCAGCUAAGGUCCCAAAGUCAUGGUUAAGUGGGAAACGAUGUGGGAAGGCCCAGACAGCCAGGAUGUUGGCUUAGAAGCAGCCAUCAUUUAAAGAAAGCGUAAUAGCUCACUGGUCGAGUCGGCCUGCGCGGAAGAUGUAACGGGGCUAAACCAUGCACCGAAGCUGCGGCAGCGACGCUGAUGCGUUGUUGGGUAGGGGAGCGUUCUGUAAGCCUGCGAAGGUGUGCUGUGAGGCAUGCUGGAGGUAUCAGAAGUGCGAAUGCUGACAUAAGUAACGAUAAAGCGGGUGAAAAGCCCGCUCGCCGGAAGACCAAGGGUUCCUGUCCAACGUUAAUCGGGGCAGGGUGAGUCGACCCCUAAGGCGAGGCCGAAAGGCGUAGUCGAUGGGAAACAGGUUAAUAUUCCUGUACUUGGUGUUACUGCGAAGGGGGGACGGAGAAGGCUAUGUUGGCCGGGCGACGGUUGUCCCGGUUUAAGCGUGUAGGCUGGUUUUCCAGGCAAAUCCGGAAAAUCAAGGCUGAGGCGUGAUGACGAGGCACUACGGUGCUGAAGCAACAAAUGCCCUGCUUCCAGGAAAAGCCUCUAAGCAUCAGGUAACAUCAAAUCGUACCCCAAACCGACACAGGUGGUCAGGUAGAGAAUACCAAGGCGCUUGAGAGAACUCGGGUGAAGGAACUAGGCAAAAUGGUGCCGUAACUUCGGGAGAAGGCACGCUGAUAUGUAGGUGAAGUCCCUCGCGGAUGGAGCUGAAAUCAGUCGAAGAUACCAGCUGGCUGCAACUGUUUAUUAAAAACACAGCACUGUGCAAACACGAAAGUGGACGUAUACGGUGUGACGCCUGCCCGGUGCCGGAAGGUUAAUUGAUGGGGUUAGCGCAAGCGAAGCUCUUGAUCGAAGCCCCGGUAAACGGCGGCCGUAACUAUAACGGUCCUAAGGUAGCGAAAUUCCUUGUCGGGUAAGUUCCGACCUGCACGAAUGGCGUAAUGAUGGCCAGGCUGUCUCCACCCGAGACUCAGUGAAAUUGAACUCGCUGUGAAGAUGCAGUGUACCCGCGGCAAGACGGAAAGACCCCGUGAACCUUUACUAUAGCUUGACACUGAACAUUGAGCCUUGAUGUGUAGGAUAGGUGGGAGGCUUUGAAGUGUGGACGCCAGUCUGCAUGGAGCCGACCUUGAAAUACCACCCUUUAAUGUUUGAUGUUCUAACGUUGACCCGUAAUCCGGGUUGCGGACAGUGUCUGGUGGGUAGUUUGACUGGGGCGGUCUCCUCCUAAAGAGUAACGGAGGAGCACGAAGGUUGGCUAAUCCUGGUCGGACAUCAGGAGGUUAGUGCAAUGGCAUAAGCCAGCUUGACUGCGAGCGUGACGGCGCGAGCAGGUGCGAAAGCAGGUCAUAGUGAUCCGGUGGUUCUGAAUGGAAGGGCCAUCGCUCAACGGAUAAAAGGUACUCCGGGGAUAACAGGCUGAUACCGCCCAAGAGUUCAUAUCGACGGCGGUGUUUGGCACCUCGAUGUCGGCUCAUCACAUCCUGGGGCUGAAGUAGGUCCCAAGGGUAUGGCUGUUCGCCAUUUAAAGUGGUACGCGAGCUGGGUUUAGAACGUCGUGAGACAGUUCGGUCCCUAUCUGCCGUGGGCGCUGGAGAAUUGAGGGGGGCUGCUCCUAGUACGAGAGGACCGGAGUGGACGCAUCACUGGUGUUCGGGUUGUCAUGCCAAUGGCAUUGCCCGGUAGCUAAAUGCGGAAGAGAUAAGUGCUGAAAGCAUCUAAGCACGAAACUUGCCCCGAGAUGAGUUCUCCCUGACUCCUUGAGAGUCCUGAAGGAACGUUGAAGACGACGACGUUGAUAGGCCGGGUGUGUAAGCGCAGCGAUGCGUUGAGCUAACCGGUACUAAUGAACCGUGAGGCUUAACCUUACAACGCCGAAG